UUAGAUGGCUUGUAAAUUCUCAUAACUUAAAGGCAACAACUGGAAUGCUUCAUCUGUAAUAUACGAAAAACCAUAUUAUUUUCAAACUAAAAUAUUACUAAUGCAUUUUAACUAUAAACACAAAUUUAGUUCUUAGUUAUACACAAUAUUUGUAAAUUGACAGCCAAACAAAAAAUUAAAAUAAAAUCCUGAAAACGAGGCGAGCCAAUGUGAAGAUGAAGAUGAAGAUGAAAAGAACAAGAAAGAGGAAACACAACCGAAAAACUAAGAAAAAUAUUUAAAAGUAAAUUAAAAGUAAAAAUCUGCACACACUUCUCGAGCAAGGAAACCUUUCCAAGACUAACUAC